rnacentral:rRNA from 1 species
ACGUCGGCCCACUGCGGAAUGGGUGCCACCUAACUAUGAUAUAGUUAUAGUAGUUCCACUCUAGUUGGAUCGCGCCCAUGCUUGCUCAGCUCCAGGAUCAGGUUCCUAAACCUAUUUUCAAUAAGUCAUCUGGUCUAUGUUGUUGGAGUUCCGCAUGACACCUUAAUCCCACCUCUGUGUCUAAGGAAUAGCCUUUUCUUCUUUUCUUUAUUGUUCAUGGGAACAUGUAAGAUUAGCAAUGGAAAUUUAGCUACGGCCGUCCCUUCCUCAAGCAAACAAUGCGAGACUUAG